AUUUGUAUUUCAUGACAAAAACUCUAUAGCGUAAACGAGUUUAAAAUUUAAAAAACCUACUUAAAUGGUUUCAGCAGCAUAUCCUGUUGCCUGUUAUGUAUUUUUCUUCUCUUUUACAUUCUUUAUUUUAACACAAAGCCACGAAAACACUAGUUUAAAUAGUAUAAAUUUGUGCCGCCAUUUUGUUUAUUUAUGUACGUAGCCGGUCGGGGCGGGCAACAAUUUUUCACUUAUUGCCCGCGCGGGAUACAUUGCAUUUAUCUAAAGCCACGUGACUACAAAUCAGCCAAUCACGUUUGGUAUUCACACUAGCUAUAUAACAAUAUGGGUUGUUCAAGCAGCAAUAAUAAUCUUCUUGAACUACGCCAUCUUCUCGUCAAAAUUUCAACACGUAUAAUAUGACUAGGUUAUAAAUUAAAAACGCUGGAUAUAACAUUUUAACCGUAAAGUGCGACUCACCCCAAAUAUAAUUUUUAGUAUUUGUAAUAUUUGGGUCAUUCUAAGAAGAGAUGUAAUGUAUCUGUAUAGUAAAAAACCUCAUCUUGAUCAACUUUUUCACUGUCAUUGCAAUUCACCUAAUGAUUUUAGACCGAUUUAGAUCGAGGACGCAGACGUCAAAGACGACGUGAAAAUUGGGUGUUGUGCCCAUGUAUGGAUAUGCCACACCAUUCUGACGCCAUUUUCACGUCGUCUUUGAUGUUCGCGUCCUCUAUCUAAAUCUGUCUAUUAUAUUUAGAAAAACUCCCAUCUUAAAGGUGAUCUACAGUCCGAUCUGCGCAUGUGCACAAAUGAGCCCACUUUUUAUGAUACAAACACUGUCAAACAGUUUAACUAUGUUUUGAGUUCUUGAAAAGCCUGAUUGUUGUUUCUUGAUCAUUUAUUAUACUCUAGAAGCUUGAAAAUAUAAAUAGUUGUCGAAUAAAGCUCAAUAUUUUGGACACAAAAAAUGUAAACAAAGACUUUGUUUACAUAUGGACUGUAGAUCACCUUUAAUAAACUUCUUUAACAGUGAAAAAGAUUAUAUAUUUUUGUUAUAACGAUUAUAUUCCAUUUCUUCCUCGAAUGACCUAAAUAUUACACAUACCAAAAUCAUAAUUGUGGUUAGUCACACUUUCAACUAAAGCAAACUUUAAGUUUAACUUUUUUACUAUUUUGAAUAUCUAGUUCUUCUCGUCCAUUCUUUUACUAGGCAUUAUCUAACAUGAAUCGCGUUCUAUUUCAAUUUUUUAGCGAGCUCACAGUUGAUUUCAUAUAACUUUUCCCUAAAUGUUGCAAACUUCGUUCCUAACUUCGUUGUGAAGUUCACACUGAAAUUCAGAAGUCGGUAUGUAAACAAAGCCUCUGAUUGGUCGCUGAACAAAAGUAAGCCAAUCAGACGCUUUGUUUACAUACCGGCUUCCGAAUUUCAGUAUGAACUUUUGAACUUCGCAACGAAGUUCGUAACGAAGUUCGCAACAUUCAGGGAAAAGUUAUAUGAAAUCAACAAUCGAGUGUCACGUGAAAAUGGAUAGAACUACUAACUUUGACGGCAUUUUGCAUCAGCGCUUGUGUAAGGAAGCCAAAAACUUUAAUAAUCUUAUGUUUUGUCGUGUCCACAAACUGAUACAAACACAGCUUUUUAAAUCCAUUCCCCCCUCGGCAAUCUGACAUCCGUGUCGACAAAAAAGUCACUUGCUCCCUAUCUUUUACGGUAUGUGAUUCUGUAUGUAACAUACUAAUAUUCAUAAAUAUACAAUACAUUAGCAUAGUUUCCGAUUACGUGCUUACAUUUUGUUACACACGUAAAAAUCUCAACAAGAUGUUCGCACUGCUUGUUCCCAGUCGGUGAAAAGACUGGAACACGCUGUACAGGGGCGUAGGAAGCAUCAAAAGAUUGGGGGGGCACUAGCUCCCAGGGGCACUUUAGGACAUCUAAAAAAGGGCACCUAAAAAAUUUUCCCGGUAAUGUUUGCGACGGGGGGAGCGGGGGUGAAAGAAAAUUUUUGCCGUCAUACCAUGCCGAAAUUGCACGUUUUUGAUCACAUUUUAAAAAAAAACAUGGAGAUUUGCAAACAAAAAGGCACUUUUCGUUACAGCGACAUUAUAGCUUGUACAAAAAGGGAACUUUUCAUCACAAAAAAGGGCACUUGCCACUUUUAGUCCUUUGAAAAAAUUUCGGACCAUGGUUCCUGCGCCCCUGAAGCUGUAAUCUUGUAACCAGGUUGAUGAGGCCAACAAGUCUGUUCCAACAAGUCUGUUCCGGACAAGUUGGUGAGAACUUGCUCACUUGCUCAAUGCUCGUAGCAAUUGAUUACGAACAGCAUGUGCUAUAUAGUCUUGUUGGAACAACUUGUAGCGAGUCUAUAUUACCGUCAUCAACCUUCAAUUGGGGGAAUCGACUGAUUUAGGCAGGAUUUUUUCACCAGGGGGCAGUAAAGCCUAACUUGGGAGCGCGGUAAUGGGGGCGAAUUGAAAUCCCGGAUAAACACCACACAAUUAAUUAUUGAGUUACACUUGAAAGCAGAAAAAUUUAAAACAAGAGACACAAAACUGUGUGUUUUAUAACGCGAAACACUCCUAAUAUAUAUGCCGCCAUUUUGAUUCGCUGCGCGCAUGCUGAGACAAAUUGCCUACCUGUUCUUUAUCAUAGGAGCACCGAUGAUAGAUCAUAUUAUCUAUCAUCUGUGAUAGAUUUUACCCUUAAAAUUUUGUUGACUAGAACUCUUCCCAAACAUAAAGUCAACUUCUUAUACUGUAUUAAAUUCAUACGAAUUAUAAUAU
rnacentral:lncRNA from 1 species